rnacentral:rRNA from 1 species
CCUACGGGAGGCAGCAGUGGGGAAUAUUGGACAAUGGGGGGAACCCUGAUCCAGCCAUGCCGCGUGUGUGAAGAAGGCCCUCGGGUUGUAAAGCACUUUCAGUGAGGAAGAACGCCUGGUGGUUAAUACCCAUCAGGAAAGACAUCACUCACAGAAGAAGCACCGGCUAACUCCGUGCCAGCAGCCGCGGUAAUACGGAGGGUGCGAGCGUUAAUCGGAAUUACUGGGCGUAAAGCGCGCGUAGGUGGCUUGAUAAGCCGGUUGUGAAAGCCCCGGGCUCAACCUGGGAACGGCAUCCGGAACUGUCAAGCUAGAGUGCAGGAGAGGAAGGUAGAAUUCCCGGUGUUGCGGUGAAAUGCGUAGAGAUCGGGAGGAAUACCAGUGGCGAAGGCGGCCUUCUGGACUGACACUGACACUGAGGUGCGAAAGCGUGGGUAGCAAACAGGAUUAGAUACCCUAGUAGUC